rnacentral:lncRNA from 1 species
AUAUCACCACCCAGUCAGAUGGUAUAGAUAUCACCACCCAGUCAGAUGGUAUAGAUAUCACCACUGAUAUACUACUGCCCCCACUACCCCUACUGCCCCUACUGCCCCCUACUACCCCCUACUGCCCCUACUGCCCCCUACUACCCCCUACUGCCCCUACUGCACCUACUGCCCAGUCAGAUGUACUGGUAUAGAUAUCACCACCCAGUCAGAUGUACUGGUAUAGAUAUCACCACCCAGUCAGAUGGUAUAGAUAUCACCAUCAACCCAGUCAGAUGUACUGGUAUAGAUAUCACCACCCAGUCAGAUGGUAUAGAUAUCACCAUCAACCCAGUCAGAUGUACUGGUAUAGAUAUCACCAUCAACCCAGUCAGAUGUACUGGUAUAGAUAUCACAACCCAGUCAGAUGGUAUAGAUAUCACCACCCAGUCAGAUGGUAUAGAUAUCACCACCCAGUCAGAUGGUAUAGAUAUCACCACCCAGUCAGAUGGUAUAGAUAUCACCACCCAGUCAGAUGGUAUAGAUAUCACAACCCAGUCAGAUGGUAUAGAUAUCACCACCCAGUCAGAUGGUAUAGAUAUCACCACCCAGUCAGAUGUACUGGUAUAGAUAUCACCAUCAACCCAGUCAGAUGUACUGGUAUAGAUAUCACAACCCAGUUAGAUGGUAUAGAUAUCACCACCCAGUCAGAUGGUAUAGAUAUCACCACCCAGUCAGAUGGUAUAGAUAUCACCACCCAGUCAGAUGGUAUAGAUAUCACCACCCAGUCAGAUGGUAUAGAUAUCACAACCCAGUCAGAUGGUAUAGAUAUCACCACCCAGUCAGAUGGUAUAGAUAUCACCACCCAGUCAGAUGUACUGGUAUAG